UACAGAGGGGGCAAGCGUUGUUCGGAAUUACUGGGCGUAAAGGGCGCGUAGGCGGCCUGUUAAGUCGGACGUGAAAUCCCUCGGCUCAACCGGGGAACUGCGUCCGAUACUGGCGGGCUUGAAUUCGGGAGAGGGAUGUGGAAUUCCAGGUGUAGCGGUGAAAUGCGUAGAUAUCUGGAGGAACACCGGUGGCGAAGGCGGCAUCCUGGACCGACAUUGACGCUGAGGCGCGAAAGCCAGGGGAGCGAACGGG
rnacentral:rRNA from 1 species